rnacentral:rRNA from 1 species
UACGGAGGGGGCUAGCGUUGUUCGGAAUUACUGGGCGUAAAGCGCACGCAGGCGGACCAGAAAGUUGGGGGUGAAAUCCCGGGCUCAACCCCGGAACUGCCUUCAAAACUAUUGGUCUUGAGUUCGAGAGAGGUGAGUGGAAUUCCGAGUGUAGAGGUGAAAUUCGUAGAUAUUCGGAGGAACAUCAGUGGCGAAGGCGGCUCACUGGCUCGAUACUGACGCUGAGGUGCGAAAGCGUGGGGAGCAAACAGG